AAUGUUCAAAUAAGGUUCAAAUGUCCGUGUCAAAUCAUAAAAUACUGUCAACAUGCACAAAAUAUUAAAAUUAUUAAUGUUUGUCAUCACUGGGCUGCUGUAGAUAGGUCUUUAAGUUACUCUAUAGGCUUACAUUCAUCCUAGUGUUGUAAUUUGUUUGUUUUGUUAUUUUCUCUCUUUCUUCAGGUUAUGACAGACAGUCUGGAUAUGUAAGUUUUCAAUUGUAUGUAAUGUUAUUCAAAAUGAAUUCAUAGUUUUACAAAUGAAUAAUAAUAAUUAGAAAUUAAUUAUUGGGGAUACCAGUUUUUUGUCAAGAAUACACUUUCUAACCAAGUAGGUCCAUUUGGUAUUUUAUUUCAUGGCAGUAAACUGUUUUAUGAGGAAGAAGGCUCUGUAUUUUCAUGAUGCGUUUGGGAAAUUCUAAAAGGCUUCAAGAACAUAUAUACCCAAAAUGCACAUGGUCAAAAAACUGUGUAUACAACAAAAUAAACUUGCUCCAUGGGUUUUGCAAUGAGGCUGACUGUUAGCAUGAAGGUAAAUGUUUCAUUAAAAACUACAAUCUCUUGUUGUUUCAAGGAUUCCCUGCUUGAAUCACUCAGAAAUAAGUUUAAGAAGGAAAGGCAGCCUCUUGUUGCCAACAAUGAAAUACAGCGACUGAAAGAGAGAUGGGCAAGAAGGAAGCGACCUCUUCAGACAGCUGAAGCUUAUCCAAGUACCACGGUUGAUGCAGGAGAAGAUGAACGAAGCAUCAGGGAACAUCUCCGAGUAAUAAAGUAGGAAAACAGAGAAGCUUAGACCAAACGUAGAGAUUCUUAAAGAAAGGAUGGCGCUGAUAAAAAUCUACCAGAAAAAUUUUGUGUCUAAUCACAGCACGGAGGAGAUUAUCUCUGAGUUUCCAUGUUUCAGACUGGCCAAAAUGCUCCUUUGUGAUCUGAGAGACCGUACCAACAUUGAUGUGGACCAACAGAUUCUCUCUCAGCUCUCGGUAAUGGCACCUAAAGUCCUUCAAGUUUCACGGAGUCCCCUGAUGGAGAAGUUCAGGCGUGUGGUUGAUGACUGUGAAGAUGGCAGACUGAAAAAAGGGCCAUGCUCAGACCUGCCCUCCUGACACACCAACACCUAAAAUGGUUCUCAAAGGCUGCAGGGAGGGUCAUCCCAUGCAAUAUGACCACAUUGUCAUCAUGUUGGAUGGCCAGUCCAUUACUGAGGAGAGUGAGGACAUCUCAAUGGCACUGGGCCUCAUCCUUUGUAUAUAUUUUCUGUUUGGGAUCCAAUAUCCUAAACGACUGAAAAAGACACUGACCUUCCUGGAGUGCGUUGUCUUAAAAAUGAAGGAUGCAGCCGGACUUCCUGUCACAAUUAAAAGAGUGUACAACUCAAUCUGUGCAUAGUCUCUCUCUCUCUCUCUCUCUCUCUCUUUUUCUCUUUCUGGGGCCUAUUCCAAUUUCUAUUUUUUUUCCUUCUAUUUUUUCUAACUCCUUUAGCCAGUGUUGUUAAUGUUAAAAAGCACUGAUUAUAUUUGCAACUAAAAGAAAUGAAUUAAACUAUUUUAAAAGUGUAAUGUAUUUUGUUUAUCAGUAAAUGUAUUUUGUUUGUUAUUGUUUUAAUCAAUAACAAGAUGGCGUCGCGUCCACACGCAGCGGCUUCUCUCUGUCCUGACAGAACGGUGUUUU
ensembl:lncRNA